AGAUUUCCAUUAAAUGAAUCUAAAGUUUGUGCACAAUGGGUAGCAGUUGUGAAUAGAAAAAAAUGGAUACCAACAAUGUCCAGUAAAAGUUGUGAAAAGCACUUCGACAUCAGUGAUUUCUAUAAUACAAAAAAGAAAAAAAGAUUAAAGCCUGAUGCAGUACCUAAGCAUAUUAUAGCACCUGAUAGAAUAGAAGAAGUAUUUGAACUAGAUAUAUCUAUAAUAUUGAUAUUACUUUCCAUAAUUGAAGUAUAAGCUGGCACAAAUUCUUUCACAAUAAAUUUAAAUGCGUGCAAUAUAGUAUCUAUUCCUACUAAACCUGACGACAGUGAUAUUAUAGCACCUGAUAGAAUAGAAGAAGCAUUUGAACUAGUUUCAUUGUACAAAUAAAAAACGACAAAACGUAAAAUAACAGAAACGUUAGAUCAACC